UACGAAGGGUGCUAGCGUUGUUCGGAAUUACUGGGCGUAAAGCGCGCGCAGGCGGUCCUUUAAGUCAGGGGUGAAAGCCCAGAGCUCAACUCUGGAACUGCCUUUGAAACUAGAGGACUUGGGUACGGGAGAGGUGAGUGGAAUUCCGAGUGUAGAGGUGAAAUGCGCAGAUAUCAGGAGGAACACCGGUGGCGAAGGCGGGUCUCUGGGCAUUAACUGACGCUGAGGAGCGAAAGCAUGGGGAGCGAACAGG
rnacentral:rRNA from 1 species